CGCCCAACGUGGGGCUCGAACAUACGACCCUGAGAUUGAGUCUUAUGUUCUACUGACUGAGCUAACUGGGC